AUUGAACGCUGGCGGCAGGCCUAACACAUGCAAGUCGGACGGUAGCACAGAGGAGCUUGCUCCUCGGGUGACGAGUGGCGAACGGGUGAGUAAUGUCUGGGGAUCUGCCCGAUAGAGGGGGAUAACCACUGGAAACGGUGGCUAAUACCGCAUAACGUCGCAAGACCAAAGAGGGGGACCUUCGGGCCUCACACCAUCGGAUGUGCCCAGAUGGGAUUAGCUAGUAGGUGGGGUAAUGGCUCACCUAGGCGACGAUCCCUAGCUGGUCUGAGAGGAUGACCAGCCACACUGGAACUGAGACACGGUCCAGACUCCUACGGGAGGCAGCAGUGGGGAAUAUUGCACAAUGGGCGCAAGCCUGAUGCAGCCAUGCCGCGUGUAUGAAGAAGGCCUUCGGGUUGUAAAGUACUUUCAGCGGGGAGGAAGGCGGUGAAGUUAAUAGCUUAACCGAUUGACGUUACCCGCAGAAGAAGCACCGGCUAACUCCGUGCCAGCAGCCGCGGUAA
rnacentral:rRNA from 1 species